UCAUCACAACAAUACUUAUAAUAUGUAUCAUAAUAUAGAGAUAUUAUUAGUUAGAAUUAUUCUACCAUUUGAACUUUGAAACAUCUAAUAUAAUAUUAUCAUAUUAUUUAAUAAAAUUUAAAAAUUAAAAAAAAUAGUUUUAGAAUGGAUAAUCAUGAUUAAUUUUUAUUCAUAUUUUUUAGUUAAGUGAAAAAUUUUUAAAUUUUGAAUCAUCAGAUGAUAAGAUCAUAUUGUAUUAGAUGAUCCCAUUUUCAUGUAAUAGAAUAAUUCUAGCCAAUUAUUUUUCAAUAGAAUGACGAUACGACAUGUCCUUACUAGACUACUCUCGUUGACAUCUUCUUAGACAAAAGUAGUUGGCACUUUUCAAAAACGCAUUGCAAGUAUAAAGCCUAGGCGAUAGGGUAUAAGAGCGAGACUGAUAUCUAGAAUAUGAGUAUCGACCAACUACACUAAUUGACAUUUUCAUCUCUUUUCUUUUUUAAAAAAUAUACUAUUAAAAUAAAUUAAAUACCUGAAACCCAGUGCCGAGAAGGACAUAAAAACACGUCACAUGUCCAUCGGCCGGAGUAGUGCCUCAUCAUCUCUCAAAAGGAUAAGACCGACACCUGUGCCCUCUCCACCUUACCAAAAGUUGAAGAACCCCAAUAAAAGACAACCUAACGGAUCUGGCCC
rnacentral:lncRNA from 1 species